rnacentral:rRNA from 1 species
CCUACGGGAGGCAGCAGUGAGGAAUAUUGGUCAAUGGCCGGAAGGCUGAACCAGCCAAGCCGCGUGAAGGACGAAGGUGCCAAGCAUUGUAAACUUCUUUUGUCAAGGGACAAAAUCAGGCUCGAGAGCCUGACCGAGGGUACUUGAAGAAAAAGCAUCGGCUAACUCCGUGCCAGCAGCCGCGGUAAUACGGAGGAUGCGAGCGUUAUCCGGAGUUAUGGGGUUAAAAGGGUGCGUAGGCGGGCUGUUAAGUCAGCGGUAAAAGCCCGGGGCUCAACCCCGGCGAGCCGUUGAAACUGGCUGGCUGGAGAUGUGGAGAGGUAUGCGGAAUGCGCAGUGUAGCGGUGAAAUGCUUAGAUAUUGCGCAGAACUCCGAUUGCGAAGGCAGCAUACCGGCGGCGAUCUGACGCUGAGGCACGAAAGCGUGGGUAUCGAACAGGAUUAGAUACCCCUGUAGUC